rnacentral:rRNA from 1 species
GACGAACGCUGGCGGCGUGCUUAACACAUGCAAGUCGAACGGAAAGGCCCUGCUUGCAGGGUACUCGAGUGGCGAACGGGUGAGUAACACGUGGGUGAUCUGCCCUUCACUUCGGGAUAAGCCUGGGAAACUGGGUCUAAUACCGGAUAGGAGCCAUUUUUAGUGUGAUGGUUGGAAAGUUUUUUCGGUGUAGGAUGAGCUCGCGGCCUAUCAGCUUGUUGGUGGGGUAAUGGCCUACCAAGGCGGCGACGGGUAGCCGGCCUGAGAGGGUGGACGGCCACAUUGGGACUGAGAUACGGCCCAGACGCCUACGGGAGGCAGCAGUGGGGAAUAUUGCACAAUGGGCGCAAGCCUGAUGCAGCGACGCCGCGUGGGGGAUGACGGCCUUCGGGUUGGAAACUCCUUUCGCUAGGGACGAAGCUUUUUGUGACGGUACCUAGAUAAGAAGCACCGGCUAACUACGUG